CAAAGGGGCGGGGCUUCCGGCCUCGUACGUAUGGGCUACGCAUACGGCCCCGGAAGGUGGGUUCAUUUCCGGCCCGCGCGGCGCGCUGGAGUGGCUGUGGAGGUGCGGAGCCUUCGCCGGGAACCUGGAAGAGUUUCGGGCCGGGACGUGCGGCGGCGCGCUGGGUUCGUCUGGAAUUGUACAUUGACAAAUCAAGGGGAGCGGAACCGAAGGGCCUCGGCUGUUGCGUGCAGAGAAGCUGUCAGCCUUGUGAGAGAGCAUGCAGCCGGCAAGCGCAUCGUGGUGCUUCGGUACCGAGCUGAUACCGCAGGCGUCCGUCUUUUGUUUGCGAAAAGGGAUCGCGAGGAAAGGUGCUGACGUUGGAGGGGAGGUGAUUUCCAGGCGGAGCUGACCAGUGGGGUUCUCUGGCUGAGGGGAAGACCAGCCGUCAGCUGGUGGAUGUGCUUCUGGAAGAAAUAGCAACGGGAGCUCUAAGAGAGGGAAAUGGCUUCCCUGCAUGGAAGGAGGAGGGGAGCGCUGAAGCUUUCGUGGCCAAGCCCCGGAGCCAGGAUGUCAGGGAGAAGCAGGAGUAUCUGAGCCAGCUGAAGAACAAGCUGGGAGAUCUACUAGAGGGGAAGGCAGAUGAUCUGAAGACUGCUUUCUGUGCGAUUGAUCCCGGUAUCGACGAUCAGACGCUAGAUACCUACGUUGACCUGCCGGAUCAAGAAGAUGUGCCUGUGGAAACUGCACUCGAGAGGCUGCUUGCUGGAUAUGCGAGACGAGUAGGGCCCUCGCCCAGGGAGGGAAGCACGACAGGCUUUGGAGGGGAGGAAGGAGACUUCCAAUAAUAAGAAUAAAUGGACUGUUUGAUCUA